UACGUAGGUGGCAAGCGUUGUCCGGAUUUACUGGGCGUAAAGAGCGCGCAGGCGGUCGUAUAAGUCGAAUGUGAAAGCCCCCGGCUCAACUGGGGAGGGUCACGCGAUACUGCUCGACUCGAAGGCAGGAGAGGGAAGUGGAAUUCCCGGUGUAGUGGUGAAAUGCGUAGAUAUCGGGAGGAACACCAGUGGCGAAGGCGACUUCCUGGCCUGUUCUUGACGCUGAGGCGCGAAAGCUAGGGUAGCAAACGGG
rnacentral:rRNA from 1 species